CCUACGGGUGGCUGCAGUGGGGAAUAUUGCACAAUGGGCGCAAGCCUGAUGCAGCCAUGCCGCGUGUGUGAAGAAGGCCUUCGGGUUGUAAAGCACUUUCAGCGGGGAGGAAGGCGUUAAGGUUAAUAACCUUGGCGAUUGACGUUACCCGCAGAAGAAGCACCGGCUAACUCCGUGCCAGCAGCCGCGGUAAUACGGAGGGUGCAAGCGUUAAUCGGAAUUACUGGGCGUAAAGCGCACGCAGGCGGUCUGUCAAGUCGGAUGUGAAAUCCCCGGGCUCAACCUGGGAACUGCAUUCGAAACUUGCAGGCUAGAGUCUUGUAGAGGGGGGUAGAAUUCCAGGUGUAGCGGUGAAAUGCGUAGAGAUCUGGAGGAAUACCGGUGGCGAAGGCGGCCCCCUGGACAAAGACUGACGCUCAGGUGCGAAAGCGUGGGGAGCAAACAGGAUUAGAUACCCGUGUAGUC
rnacentral:rRNA from 1 species